rnacentral:rRNA from 1 species
GUGGGGAAUAUUGGACAAUGGGCGAAAGCCUGAUCCAGCAAUGCCGCGUGAGUGAAGAAGGCCUUAGGGUUGUAAAGCUCUUUCGCCUGCGACGAUGAUGACGGUAGCAGGAGAAGAAGCCCCGGCUAAUUCCGUGCCAGCAGCCGCGGUAAUACGGAAGGGGCUAGCGUUGUUCGGAAUCACUGGGCGUAAAGCGCGCGUAGGCGGCUUGGCAAGUGAGGCGUGAAAGUCCUGGGCUCAACCCGGGGACUGCGCUUCAGACUGCUUGGCUUGAGUCCGGAAGAGGGUGGUGGAAUUCCGAGUGUAGAGGUGAAAUUCGUAGAUAUUCGGAGGAACACCGGCGGCGAAGGCGGCCACCUGGUCCGGAACUGACGCUCAAGUGCGAAAGCGUGGGGAGCAAACAGGAUUAGAAACCCGAGUAGUCC